AUGGUUACCAAGAAAGAGAGAAACAAAGCUGCAAAAAGAAAAACUAGGGUUGUAGAGAGAAGAGGCAAAAGAGACAAAGAGAUAAGAGCUUAAAGAGAGAUUCAACUGUGGGAAGUCAUCAAUUCGGAAAACUAGAGGAAGAAGAUCUUAGUUGCAGUGAGUCUUGGAGGAUGGCGUUGGGGCCUUCUCCUUUUUGUCUAUCGCUUUUU
rnacentral:lncRNA from 1 species